rnacentral:misc_RNA from 1 species
GUUUUUGCACAGAUCGGUGGCGCUGUUCCAAAUGCAGUAUUCUCCCUCAUUGGAGGUUUGUUUGGUGCCUUGACGUACGGAAUGUUGGCUCACGUUAUUGAAAGAACAACGAAACCAAAGAAUCCUGUACAAGUGCACCAAAUUCACAAGAAACUUAACCUGCCGUACAUAGCAUUGGCCCUUCCAAUGGCUGCCUUUCUCUGCGGUGGAGUUGCUAUCAUUGAAUGGCUUUGGCCAACCAGCAAAGACCUGAAUAGCCUAAAUAUUGAAAUCAGCGCCGACACAAAUGUCUUUCAGCAAGUUGCAUGGCCGCCGUAUAUCGCAGGUAUUCUGGUGGGUCUGUGUCAGGUGCCCUUGGUGUUGGUCCUUUGUGACACCCUGGGUGGUUCAUCGUGUUACGCCACGGUGGUAUCCCAAUGGGUGGUCACUGAGCGGCUACAGAAGAUGUUCCCUUACCUGGCCAGGUGUAGGGGCGGUCUGGGAAAUUGGUGGCAGGUAUUGCUUGUGAUCGGAGUAACAGGGGGCUCUGUGAUGUCUGCGGGACUUUCCUCGUCGAUCGGAACGGUUUCGGGUGUUAGUAUUCCUGACGCUUUGGUUGGAGGGGUCCUUAUGCUGUGGGGCUCAAGAUUCGCCUCAGGGUGUACAAGUGGGCAUGGGAUUUCAGGGAUGGGUCUGUUUGCUUGGCUCUCCUUCCUGGCAGUGCCCUCCAUUUUCGCGGGAGGAAUAUCCACGGCUUUCCUGAUGAAAUAUACCGGGGUCAAAGAUCACUACGUGACCUACACUGGUGGCGUGUGAUUGGUGCAAUUUCAAAACCAAUUUUCAAAUGUAGCCAAUGAGCGCAUUUGUUGCUUCAAAGGGUACUUGUGGAGACACAAGUUUUAUAUCUUCCGAUUGUGUAAAAUUUUUGCAUGUCCGAAGUUUUGGAAUUUACAGAUACAGACAGGCAUAAUUAGAUGAUGUAAAAAAAAUAUACGACAACCAAAGUAGAACUGGGAAUCCUACGCAAUGUACAAUUUACAUCUGGAAACCAUUUUUAUUUAUUUAUCAUUCGUUUACAUAUGAUAAAAACUCAUUCAUAUAAAACAUAAUGAUAUGAUUUUAAUCUUAUAUGUAAAUGUUUCACUCAUUAAGUAUUGAAUAACAUAAUCAAACAAACCAAAAUACUGAAACGAGAAUUUACACUUACUUUACGAGAAUUAAAUUGCCUUGCUUUAUAAAAAGUAUAGAAAUGAUUAACUUAUAUACAUGUUUUAGAUAGAUAAGUGACACGUUUUUACAUGUAUUUAUAUAUGCCUUUCAAUAGAUUUAUUCAAAAUACUCAUGAAAUACUCAUAGAAUUUAGAAAUGUACAGUAAGAUUUAAAAAACGAAACAGGAACAAAAUACUAUUUUAUAUUAAUUGUCUUUUCGCAUGCUGAAUCCACCUCUUUUAUUGUUAUUAUAUAAUAUAUGUUAUUUUUGUUAUCGAUAUUAAGAUAUUGCUGUUAUUGUUGUUAAAAUGAAAAUGCCGUGCAUUGUUACUGAAUUAUGUUAUAUAUUUUCUCUAUACACCGUGUUUUAUACUUUAGUAUUAAGAUAACAUAUCUUAACGAUUAUUAAAUCAGUUUAAAAG